rnacentral:rRNA from 1 species
AGUGAACGCUGGCGGUAGGCCUAACACAUGCAAGUCGAACGGCAGCACAGUAAGAGCUUGCUCUUACGGGUGGCGAGUGGCGGACGGGUGAGGAAUACAUCGGAAUCUACUUUUUCGUGGGGGAUAACGUAGGGAAACUUACGCUAAUACCGCAUACGACCUACGGGUGAAAGCAGGGGAUCUUCGGACCUUGCGCGAUUGAAUGAGCCGAUGUCGGAUUAGCUAGUUGGCGGGGUAACGGCCCACCAAGGCGACGAUCCGUAGCUGGCCUGAGAGGAUGAUCAGCCACACUGGAACUGAGACACGGUCCAGACUCCUACGGGAGGCAGCAGUGGGGAAUAUUGGACAAUGGGCGAAAGCCUGAUCCAGCCAUACCGCGUGGGUGAAGAAGGCCUUCGGGUUGUAAAGCCCUUUUGUUGGGAAAGAAAAGCAGCAGGUUAAUACCCCGCUGUUCUGACGGUACCCAAAGAAUAAGCACCGGCUAACUUCGUG